GACGAACGCUGGCGGCGUGCUUAACACAUGCAAGUCGAACGGAAAGGCCCUGCUUUUGUGGGGUGCUCGAGUGGCGAACGGGUGAGUAACACGUGAGUAACCUGCACUUGACUUUGGGAUAACUUCAGGAAACUGGGGCUAAUACAGGAUAGGAGCUCCUGCUGCAUGGUGGGGGUUGGAAAGUUUCGGCGGUUGGGGAUGGACUCGCGGCUUAUCAGCUUGUUGGUGGGGUAGUGGCUUACCAAGGCUUUGACGGGUAGCCGGCCUGAGAGGGUGACCGGCCACAUUGGGCCUGAGAUACGGCCCAGACUCCUACGGGAGGUAGCAGUGGGGAAUAUUGCACAAUGGGCGGAAGCCUGAUGCAGAAGCGCCGCGUGCGGGAUGACGGCCUUCGGGUUGUAAACCGCUUUCGCCUGUGACGAAGCGUGAGUGACGGUAAUGGGUAAAGAAGCACCGGCUAACUACGUG
rnacentral:rRNA from 1 species